rnacentral:rRNA from 1 species
GAUGAACGCUAGCGGCAGGCUUAACACAUGCAAGUCGAGGGGCAGCAUAAAUAGUAGCAAUACUAUUGGUGGCGACCGGCGGACGGGUGCGUAACGCGUAUACAACCUUCCCUAAACAGGGGGAUAAUCUGGAGAAAUUCGGUCUAAUACACCAUAACAUCAGAGCAGGCAUCUGUUUUGGUUAAAAUUUCCGGAGGUUUAGGAUGGGUAUGCGUAGCAUUAGCUAGUUGGUGAGGUAACGGCUCACCAAGGCGACGAUGCUUAGGGGGACUGAGAGGCUAACCCCCCACACUGGUACUGAGACACGGACCAGACUCCUACGGGAGGCAGCAGUGAGGAAUAUUGGUCAAUGGGCGGAAGCUUGAACCAGCCAUGCCGCGUGCAGGAUGACGGCUCUAUGAGUUGUAAACUGCUUUUGUACGAGGGUAAAGUGGGCUACGUGUAGCCUUUUGAAAGUAUCGUACGAAUAAGGAUCGGCUAACUCCGUGCCAGCCGCCGCGGUAA